rnacentral:rRNA from 1 species
AUUGAACGCUAGCGGCAGGCCUAACACAUGCAAGUCGAACGAGUGGCGGACGGGUGAGUAAUGUCUGGGAAACUGCCUGAUGGAGGGGGAUAACUACUGGAAACGGUAGCUAAUACCGCAUACAAUCAGAUGUGCCCAGAUGGGAUUAGCUUGUGGGUGGGGUAAAGGCUGACAAAGGCGACGAUCCCUAGCUGGUCUGAGAGGAUGACCAGCCACCCUGGAACGUAGACACAGGCCAGACUCCUACGGGAGGCAGCAGGGGGGAAUAUUGCACAAUGGGGGCAAGCCUGAUGAAGCCAUGCCGCGUGUAUGAAGAUGGCCUUCGGGUUGUAAAGUACUUUCAGCGGGGAGGCGUUACCCGCAGAAGAAGCACCGGCUAACUCCGUGCCAGCAGCCGCGGUAAUAC